rnacentral:rRNA from 1 species
GCGGCAGGCUUAACACAUGCAAGUCGAGCGGAUGAAGGGAGCUUGCUCCUGGAUUCAGCGGCGGACGGGUGAGUAAUGCUUAGGAAUCUGCCUAUUAGUGGGGGACAACAGUUGGAAACGACUGCUAAUACCGCAUACGCCCUACGGGGGAAAGGAGGGGAUCUUCGGACCUUUCGCUAAUAGAUGAGCCUAAGUCAGAUUAGCUAGUUGGUGGGGUAAAGGCCUACCAAGGCGACGAUCUGUAGCGGGUCUGAGAGGAUGAUCCGCCACACUGGGACUGAGACACGGCCCAGACUCCUACGGGAGGCAGCAGUGGGGAAUAUUGGACAAUGGGGGGAACCCUGAUCCAGCCAUGCCGCGUGUGUGAAGAAGGCCUUUUGGUUGUAAAGCACUUUAAGCGAGGAGGAGGCGCCCUAGACUAAUACUCUAGGUGCGUGGACGUUACUCGCAGAAUAAGCACCGGCUAACUCUGUGCCAGCAGCCGCGGUAAUACAGAGGGUGCGAGCGUUAAUCGGAUUUACUGGGCGUAAAGCGUGCGUAGGUGGCCAAUUAAGUCAAAUGUGAAAUCCCUGAGCUUAACUUAGGAAUUGCAUUCGAUACUGGUUGGCUAGAGUAUGGGAGAGGAUGGUAGAAUUCCAGGUGUAGCGGUGAAAUGCGUAGAGAUCUGGAGGAAUACCGAUGGCGAAGGCAGCCAUCUGGCCUAAUACUGACACUGAGGCACGAAAGCAUGGGGAGCAAACAGGAUUAGAUACCCUGGUAGUCCAUGCCGUAAACGAUGUCUACUAGCCGUUGGGGCCUUUGAGGCUUUAGUGGCGCAGCUAACGCGAUAAGUAGACCGCCUGGGGAGUACGGUCGCAAGACUAAAACUCAAAUGAAUUGACGGGGGCCCGCACAAGCGGUGGAGCAUGUGGUUUAAUUCGAUGCAACGCGAAGAACCUUACCUGGUCUUGACAUAGUAAGAACUUUCCAGAGAUGGAUUGGUGCCUUCGGGAACUUACAUACAGGUGCUGCAUGGCUGUCGUCAGCUCGUGUCGUGAGAUGUUGGGUUAAGUCCCGCAACGAGCGCAACCCUUUUCCUUAUUUGCCAGCGGGUUAAGCCGGGAACUUUAAGGAUACUGCCAGUGACAAACUGGAGGAAGGCGGGGACGACGUCAAGUCAUCAUGGCCCUUACGACCAGGGCUACACACGUGCUACAAUGGUCGGUACAAAGGGUUGCUACUCCGCGAGGAGAUGCUAAUCUCAAAAAGCCGAUCGUAGUCCGGAUCGCAGUCUGCAACUCGACUGCGUGAAGUCGGAAUCGCUAGUAAUCGCGGAUCAGAAUGCCGCGGUGAAUACGUUCCCGGGCC